CAUGGGCCAGAGCUGCUAAGCAGGACCAGACGUGACUCCAUCGAACCCCAAAGCACUCCAGAGGAACAUGGCUCCUUUCAACCUGCCUCUCCCAUAGCUAACUGUCCCCAAGAGAACUGUCUGUGGGGGUGCCCAAAAUAACUGGGCAGGAACUUCGGUCCCCUUUCUAAUGACAGCGCCCCUGAAUGAAGGGGACACGGAAAAUCAAGACCUUGGAAUGUCUUCGUUUAUUGGGGAGUUGACCAGGGCACGUCUAAAGCCUCAGGAUUAACUCUUGAGAGCACUGGUCCCCGCGCCACGCGCUCGCAGGUG